UGGGGAAUAUUGCACAAUGGGCGAAAGCCUGAUGCAGCGACGCCGCGUGAGGGAUGACGGCCUUCGGGUUGUAAACCUCUUUCAGCAGGGACGAAGCGCAAGUGACGGUACCUGCAGAAGAAGCACCGGCUAACUACGUGCCAGCAGCCGCGGUAAUACGUAGGGUGCAAGCGUUGUCCGGAAUUACUGGGCGUAAAGAGUUCGUAGGCGGUUUGUCGCGUCGUUUGUGAAAACCAGCAGCUCAACCGCUGGCUUGCAGGCGAUACGGGCAGACUUGAGUACUGCAGGGGAGACUGGAAUUCCUGGUGUAGCGGUGAAAUGCGCAGAUAUCAGGAGGAACACCGGUGGCGAAGGCGGGUCUCUGGGCAGUAACUGACGCUGAGGAACGAAAGCGUGGGUAGCGAACAGG
rnacentral:rRNA from 1 species